rnacentral:misc_RNA from 1 species
GAUGAAGAACGUAGCGAAAUGCGAUAAGUAAUGCGAAUUGCAGAAUUCCAGUGAGUCAUCGAAUCUUUGAACGCACAUUGCGCCCUUUGGUAUUCCGAAGGGCAUGCCUGUUCGAGCGUCAUUAUCACCCCUCAAGCCCUCGGCUUGGUGUUGGACGGUUUGGUGGAGGCCCCCUCGGGGGCUCCUGCCCCUCCCAAAGACAAUGACGGCGGCCUCGUUGGACCCCCGGUACACUGAGUUCUUCACGGGACACGUAUCGGACACAUGGGUUUACNNNNCACGGUCUGCCUCCCCUCAGGGAGAAUCUUUCUAAGGUUGACCUCGGAUCAGGUAGGGAUACCCGCUGAACUUAAGCAUAUCAAUAAGCGGAGGA